GUGCCAGCCAACUGUGGCUGCCUGGGACACUCCAUCUUAAGUCCCUGUGCCUCUGCUGUGUGUUACUGAGUGCCUAGGCCGUGCCAGCCUGUAUUCAUCUGUACUAUGACCUGAAGAGGCAGAGGCCAUCACUGUUGGUCCGGUCUCCACCUGGGGAAACUGAGGUUGCACAGUGUCUCUGUGGUGACGAGCAGGGCUUCAUCCAGUGCCUCUGUCCCCACCGAGGGGACUAUGGGAGACAUGGAGGGUGUGUGAGCAACAGGUGAGACUGGAGCCAGCUGAAAACUGGGAGACCGACCCAGCCAACAAACAAUGUCGGUCUCUGUCUUGGCACCUGCAGGAAACAAGCUCCUACUUCCAGAAAAAGUGCUCCUGGGACUCCAGGAUACCAGGCAUCUGGACGCGGUGGUACAUGCCUGUAAUCCCAACACUUAGGCAGGAGGAUCACUCGAGCCCAGAAGAUCAAGACUAGUGUGAGCAACAAAAUCCUUCCCUGGCACCGGUUCCAGGAGGACCUCGUUCUUAGGCAGCAUCUGUGUCUCUGUUUUGUAAGACACACAGAG
rnacentral:lncRNA from 10 species